rnacentral:rRNA from 1 species
UAAAGAAAGUAAGAAAGGGCGUAUGGCGGAUGCCUAGGCUCACGGAGGCGAUGAAGGACGUGAUAAGCUGCGAUAAGCUUCGGGUAGGUGCAAAUAACCCUUGAUCCGAAGAUUUCCGAAUGGGACAACCUAGCCGUCUGAAGGGCGGUUACUAGCACUUAAGUGUUAGAGCUAACGCAGGGAACUGAAACAUCUUAGUACCUGUAGGAAGAGAAAAUAAAUGAAUGAUUCCCCCAGUAGUGGCGAGCGAACGGGGAACAGCCCAAACCAGUGGCGUCGCAAGGCGUGGCUGGGGUUGUAGGACCGCGACAUUGUACUGAAAUGGUGAGUGGAAGUAUCUGGAAAGUUACAUCACAGAAGGUGAUAAUCCUGUACACGAAGCCAGAUCAGGCAUAGCGGUAUCCUGAGUAACGCGGGACACGAGGAAUCCUGCGCGAAUCUGCCGGGACCAUCCGGUAAGGCUAAAUACUCCCGUGAGACCGAUAGCGAACGAGUACUGUGAAGGAAAGGUGAAAAGAACCCCGAGCAGGGGAGUGAAAUAGUUCCUGAAACCAUACGCCUACAAGCGGUCGGAGCAUCGCAAGAUGUGACGGCGUGCCUUUUGCAUAAUGAUCCUACGAGUUACCGUCACUGGCGAGGUUGAGUGUCAUGAGACACGUAGCCGCAGUGAAAGCGAGCCUGAACAGGGCGCACAGUCAGUGGGGGUAGACGCGAAACCAAGUGAUCUACACUUGGCCAGGAUGAAGUCCCGGUAACACGGGAUGGAGGUCCGCACCAAUAAGCGUUGAAAAGCUUCUGGAUGAGCCGAGUGUAGGAGUGAAAGGCCAAUCAAACUUGGAGAUAGCUCGUACUCCCCGAAAGGCAUUUAGGUGCCGCGUCGGAUGGUCACCGUGAGAGGUAGAGCGACCGAUAGGACAAGAGGGCUUCACCGCCUAUCGAGUCCUGACGAACUCCGAAUGCUCACGGUCUGCAGUCCGGCAGUAAGGGGGCGGGUGCUAAGGUCCGUCCCCGAGAGGAGAAGAAUCCAGACCGCCGUCUAAGGUCCCGGAGUUCUGCCUGAGUUAGUCUAACGAAGUCUGGUCCCUAUGACAGCUAGGAUGUUGGCUUGGAAGCAGCCAUUCAUUCAAAGAGUGCGUAACAGCUCACUAGUCGAGGGUCCGGGCAUGGAUAAUAAUCGGGUAUAAGGCAGACACCGAAGGCGCGGGAUAGCAAUUAUAAAAGUAUCGGUAGGGGAGCAUACUCACAGCGUCGAAUGGUGUACGUAAGUUAUCCUGGAGCGGUGAGUAAAGCAAAUGUAGGAAUAAGUAACGAUAAGGAGGGUUAGAUUCCCUCCCGCUGUAAGACCAAGGUUUCCCGGGCAAUGCCAAUCAGCCCGGGGUCAGUCGGGUCCUAAGUCUAAGCCGAACGGCGAUGGCGAUGGCAGAGACGGUUAAUAUUCCGUCACUGCCGCAUGGGGCGACGUGGAGACGGAGCAGUGAAACCACCGCGGGGCGACGGAAGUCCCCGUUGAAGAGUGUAGGCGUUGAGGAUGGCAGGCAAAUCCACCAUCCGAGCUGAACCUGACAGUACGGAGUCCUCCUCGGAGGAAUCUGAUAGUGUGGGUAAUCAUACUCCCGAGAAAAUCCGCUAAGCUUAACCCAUGCGGCACCCGUACCGCAAACGGACACACGUGGUCGGGUAGAACAUACUAAGGCGUUGAGAGAUUCAUGGUUAAGGAACUAGGCAAAUUGACCCUGUAACUUCGGGAUAAAGGGUCCUCGUGAUGAGCGAGGCGCAGAGAAUAGGUCCAGGCAACUGUUUAACAAAAACACAGGGCUGUGCAAACUCGAAAGAUGACGUAUACAGCCUGACACCUGCCCGGUGCCGGAAGGUUAAGAGGAGAUGUCACUAGCAAUAGGAAGCAUUGAAUUGAAGCCCCGGUAAACGGCGGCCGUAACUAUAACGGUCCUAAGGUAGCGAAAUUCCUUGUCGGGUAAGUUCCGACCUGCACGAAUGGUGUAAUGAUCCGGACGCUGUCUCAACCAUGAGCUCAGUGAAAUUGUAGUAUCGGUGAAGAUGCCGAUUACCCGCGAUGGGACGAAAAGACCCCGUGAACCUUUACUACAGCUUAGCAUUGACCUUGGUCAUCCGAUGUGUAGGAUAGGCCGGAGGCUUUGAAGCGGGAGCGCCAGCUUUCGUGGAGCCAUCCUUGAAAUACGGCCCUUUGGCUGUCUGAGGUCUAACGCGCAGAUGCGCGGACACUGCUUGGUGGGUAGUUUGACUGGGGUGGUCGCCUCCAAAAGCGUAACGGAGGCUUCCAAAGGUGCCCUCGGGUCGAUUGGUAACCGACCUCAAAGAGUGCAAUGGCAUAAGGGCGCUUGACUGGGAGGCAGACAUGCCGAGCAGGCAGGAAACUGGGGCAUAGUGAUCCGGCGGAUGUGUAUGGAAACUCCGUCGCUCAAAGGAUAAAAGGUACUCCGGGGAUAACAGGCUGAUCCCCCCCAAGAGCUCAUAUCGACGGGGUGGUUUGGCACCUCGAUGUCGGCUCGUCACAUCCUGGGGCUGGAGAAGGUCCCAAGGGUUGGGCUGUUCGCCCAUUAAAGUGGCACGCGAGCUGGGUUCAGAACGUCGUGAGACAGUUCGGUCUCUAUCUAUCGUGGGCGUGGGAGUUUUGAGUGGUGCCGUCACUAGUACGAGAGGACCGUGAUGGACAGACCUCCGGUUUACCAGUUGUGCCGCCAGGCGCACCGCUGGGUAUCUGAGUCUGGAUUGGAUAAGCGCUGAAAGCAUCUAAGUGCGAAGCCAGCCGCAAGAUGAGAACUCCAUUGAGGGUCGUCAGAGACGAUGACGUUGAUAGGAUGCAGGUGUAAAGACAGCGAUGUCAAAGCCGAGCAUUACUAAUUGCCCGAACACUUUCUUUAG